rnacentral:rRNA from 1 species
CCUACGGGAGGCAACAGUGAGGAAUAUUGGUCAAUGGGCGCGAGCCUGAACCAGCCAAGUCGCGUGAGGGAAGACGGUCCUAUGGAUUGUAAACCUCUUUUGUCGGGGAGCAAAAGACGCCACGCGUGGCGUUCCGAGAGUACCCGACGAAAAAGCAUCGGCUAACUCCGUGCCAGCAGCCGCGGUAAUACGGAGGAUGCGAGCGUUAUCCGGAUUUAUUGGGUUUAAAGGGUGCGCAGGCGGAAGAUCAAGUCAGCGGUAAAAUUGAGGGGCUCAACCUCUUCGAGCCGUUGAAACUGGUUUUCUGGAGUGAGUGAGAAGUAGGCGGAAUGCGUGGUGUAGCGGUGAAAUGCAUAGAUAUCACGCAGAACUCCGAUUGCGAAGGCAGCAUACCGGCGCUCAACUGACGCUCAUGCACGAAAGUGUGGGUAUCGAACAGGAUUAGAUACCCGGGUAGUC